UACGAAGGGGGCUAGCGUUGCUCGGAAUCACUGGGCGUAAAGGGUGCGUAGGCGGGUCUUUAAGUCAGGGGUGAAAUCCUGGAGCUCAACUCCAGAACUGCCUUUGAUACUGCAAAUCUCGAGUCCGGAAGAGGUGAGUGGAAUUCCUAGUGUAGAGGUGAAAUUCGUAGAUAUUCGCAAGAACACCAGUGGCGAAGGCGGCUCACUGGCCCGGUACUGACGCUGAGGCACGAAAGCGUGGGGAGCAAACAGG
rnacentral:rRNA from 1 species